rnacentral:rRNA from 1 species
AUGCCUGCACCUUCUUUUUUGAUUGAGCAGUUGUCUCGCUCUGGGAACUGCGAUGAUGACAAACUAGAAGUUGAGCAGAUCCCCAUGCCGCAGGGUCGGACCUCAGACACAGAUCCAAAUCUGGAGCAAGCACCCAACUGCACUUCAAGGAUGUCAGUGAAGCAAGUUGUCGCAGUUAUCAAGGAUUUUAGCGAGUACAAGAAGUGGCUUGUGACUGAGAUCGGUUUUGGAGAGGAUGUUGGAAAAGUUUUCGGCAUACCAUGUGGCAGCCAGAUGUCAAGGGCCGGGAUGCGGAUGUAA